GGGAAAGGCUGGAAGUUAGAAAUUCACUGCAGAGGGAAUUUCAGACUUCUUCCCCCUCCCUUCCGGGACUGCAGGAAAUCUGCACUGCAAAACACCUCAACUGAGAUAGCGUCAGCUCAGCAGAACUGCAGGAGACCACAGAACUUUUUUGCUGAUUGCUCUGCCGAAGUGUCACUUCUCCCGGGCCCCAAAGAACAGACCUAGCACGGUUCACGGGGAUGAACCCUAACCUCAGGCUGAGUGAAGGAACAGCUGACGGAGGUGCUACGCAGUCAGAGAAGCCAAGUGAGGGUGUACGUGUUCUGCAGAUGUCGUCAGAACAGAGCACAGCCUUCAACACUGCUCCCCUGCAUCACCUCACAAAAAAUUUCAAAUAACUGGGAAAGAAAAGGCAGAAGAAUAAGCAGACGCAUUUUAUGAUUCCUCCCCUGCCGCCUCCUCUGCUCUCACGUUGGUGACAGAGGGCCAUGGGAGCAGCCCAGAUUUCAGCAAGGACUGAUCUCCACCAUCCAUGCUGGAUGCACAGCCCUCCUGAAGGCUGAGUUCCCCCACCUGUUCCCUCUCUACUCAUCCCAGCAGAGCGCAGUGACAGCGGAUGGGCCGAGCACUGGGAUCGGGGCGGACGUUUACACGUUUGUAAGCACCUGGAAAGCAAACAUCCGCUCAGCGCUGUGCAGCACCAAAUUAUUCACCUCAUUUUUCUUCUGUGUGUGCAUCUGCUGAGACACACAACCUAAAAUUAGAGCAAUCCCCUUCCUGUGUAUGUACGUGUGCCUGUAUAUAUAAAUACCCCUGCGUGCACACAGAUAUAUUUAGCUGGGAAAGGGCGAAGAUGGAACUGCCGAUUACUUCAUGUCUUUAUUCUUUGUUUUCAACUCAUUUUGUGUUCACUCACCCUGGCGUGGAGUCACAAGAGGAAGCCCGUCUGCCUGGCAAAGUUACAUCCAGAUGCUAACGUUGGGACAAUGAUACCAGACUCUGUGAUUAAAAAAAAGGAGACUGUUCUCCACAUCAAGAAGUCAAUAUAUCUCUUCUGUGAAAGAGAGUCUGUGUCUCUGUAUAGCA
ensembl:lncRNA